AGAGAGAGAGAGAGAGAGAGAGAGAGAGAGAAAAGAAUCCAUUUUCUUUCUCUCUCUCUCUCUCUUUUUUUUUUAGU
rnacentral:miRNA from 1 species